rnacentral:rRNA from 1 species
AUGAACGCUGGCGGCGUGCCUAAUCCAUGCAAGUCGAGCGCACGGACGAGAAGCUUGCUUCUCUGAUGUUAGCGGCGGACGGGUGAGUAACACGUGGAUAACCUACCUAUAAGACUGGGAUAACUUCGGGAAACCGGAGCUAAUACCGGAAAAUAUUUUGAACCGCAUGGUUCAAAAGUGAAAGACGGUCUUGCUGUCCCUUAUAGAUGGAUCCGCGCUGCAUUAGCUAGUUGGUAAGGUAACGGCUUACCAAGGCAACGAUGCAUAGCCGACCUGAGAGGGUGAUCGGCCACACUGGAACUGAGACACGGUCCAGACUCCUACGGGAGGCAGCAGUAGGGAAUCUUCCGCAAUGGGCGAAAGCCUGACGGAGCAACGCCGCGUGAGUGAUGAAGGUCUUCGGAUCGUAAAACUCUGUUAUUAGGGAAGAACAUAUGUGUAAGUAACUGUGCACAUCUUGACGGUACCUAAUCAGAAAGCCACGGCUAACUACGUG